ACUCCUACGGGAGGCAGCAGUGGGGAAUAUUGCACAAUGGGCGCAAGCCUGAUGCAGCCAUGCCGCGUGUAUGAAGAAGGCCUUCGGGUUGUAAAGUACUUUCAGCAGUGAGGAAGGCGGGUACGUUAAUAGCGUGCUCGUUUGACGUUAGCUGCAGAAGAAGCACCGGCUAACUCCGUGCCAGCAGCCGCGGUAAUACGGAGGGUGCGAGCGUUAUCCGGAUUUAUUGGGUUUAAAGGGUCCGUAGGCGGAUUAAUAAGUCAGUGGUGAAAUCCCAUCGCUUAACGAUGGAACUGCCAUUGAUACUGUUAGUCUUGAAUGAGGGUGCAGUGGUUGGAAUGUGUAGUGUAGCGGUGAAAUGCAUAGAUAUUACACAGAACACCGAUUGCGAAGGCAGAUCACUAACCCUAAAUUGACGCUGAGGGACGAAAGCGUGGGG
rnacentral:rRNA from 1 species